GACGAACGCUGGCGGCGUGCUUAACACAUGCAAGUCGAGCGGAAAGGCCCUGCUUUUGUGGGGUGCUCGAGUGGCGAACGGGUGAGUAACACGUGAGUAACCUGCCCUUGACUUUGGGAUAACUUCAGGAAACUGGGGCUAAUACCGGAUAGGAGCUCCUGCUGCAUGGUGGGGGUUGGAAAGUUUCGGCGGUUGGGGAUGGACUCGCGGCUUAUCAGCUUGUUGGUGGGGUAGUGGCUUACCACGGCUUUGACGGGUAGCCGGCCUGCGAGGGUGACCGGCCACAUUGGGACUGAGAUACGGCCCAGACUCCUACGGGAGGCAGCAGUGGGGAAUAUUGCACAAUGGUCGGAAGCCUGAUGCAGCAACGCCGCGUGCGGGAUGACGGCCUUCGGGUUGUAAACCGCUUUCGCCUGUGACGAAGCGUGAGUGACGGUAAUGGGUAAAGAAGCACCGGCUAACUACGUG
rnacentral:rRNA from 1 species